rnacentral:lncRNA from 1 species
GUCUCCUGCGGGCGCAAUGGAGGAGGAGGAUGAGGAAGCGCGGGCGCUCCUGGCAGGCGGCCCUGACGAGGCCGACAGAGGUGCCCCGGCCGCCCCUGGAGCCCUGCCGGCCCUCUGCGACCCCAGUCGCCUGGCGCACCGGCUUUUGGUGCUGUUACUGAUGUGCUUCCUUGGCUUUGGCAGCUAUUUUUGCUAUGAUAAUCCUGCUGCCCUUCAGACUCAAGUUAAACGAUUUUAUUUUCUUUUCAUAUAGGAUAUGCAAGUGAAUACCACGAAAUUCAUGCUGCUGUAUGCCUGGUAUUCUUGGCCCAAUGUAGUUUUGUGUUUCUUUGGUGGCUUUUUGAUAGACCGAGUAUUUGGAAUACGAUGGGGCACAAUCAUUUUUAGCUGCUUUGUUUGCAUUGGACAGGUUGUUUUUGCCCUGGGUGGAAUAUUUAAUGCUUUUUGGCUGAUGGAAUUUGGAAGAUUUGUAUUUGGGAUUGGUGGCGAGUCCUUAGCAGUUGCCCAGAAUACAUAUGCUGUGAGCUGGUUUAAAGGCAAAGAAUUAAACCUGGUGUUUG